rnacentral:lncRNA from 1 species
CUAAAAGUAUAGGAGCGAAGCGACUAUACUUGUUAUAUAGGAGCGUCUGCGACUAUAUUAUGCACGCGAGCCCGGGCCCGAAAAAUCGUGUUUUUUUGGAAAUAAAAAUUCAUAUCUUUGGCUGUAUGGUUAGCGAAACGAUGAAAUUUGGCAUAGGGUCUCUCAAUACAUUGAGAAUAAUGGAUCCGUAAACGAUUUUUUUUUCCGGUACCACCAAACGGAGCGGUACUGUCUCAAAGUCAAAAAUUCGUAAAAAAAUGGGUCAAAUUCCUUUCAGACGCGAGAACUCAAAUAAAAAGCCUUUAAGAGACUUUAAAUUUUUAGGACAUGAGGGUCGGUGGGGGCUUAAGAACUGUAUACUUUUUGGGCCCGAUCGGUAUACAGGGUGAGUUGUUAUAAGCGAACAAAAGUGACUAAAAAAAAAAUUCAAACUUCUCCAGAGGCUAAAAAAAAAUUUUUAUAAAAAAAGUGUUUCGGCGAAAAGACUUCAUUUUAUAAGAGAUUUAACAUACUUGGAGCUUUUUUUUGUAAAAAAUUUAUUUUACGAGUUCUGGCAUUUUUAGUUUUUUGGGAUUUUCCGCCAAACGAUACUUAUUUUGGGAAAAUUUUUUUUUUCAAAAAAUAACUUCAUCUUUUACCUUUUAUAUGCCAUAUAACCGAAAUUUUUGGGAACCAUACAGGGCGAGCAAUAAUGAACUUUACCCAUGAAGGUCCGACCUGAAAAUCACUUUUUAUUUAAUAACUUUUCAGUGGUAGCACCUGGACCAUUUAUAUUCUCAGGGAUUAAAUACUUUAAUAACCCCAUUAUUUGUGUAAAAUUACAAUCUUCCAACUUUAAUAGGUUCUGAGCAAUUUGAAUUUUCGCGUUUAAUUCAUUUGUCACGUCCCUGUACAUGGUGAAAAGAUCAAACAACAUCUAACGGAUCCGAAAUUUUGUUUUACAAUACAUACUAAAAUUUCAAGGUUCCAGCGAUAGUACAAGUACCCGAAAAAUGCGAUUUUAUGAAAAAAGUCCAUUUUUUUGCGUUUUUGCAGGUAAUUGGAGGUGUCAACCUAAACUCUGAUGAAAUGGCUGGUGGGAACAAUACUUUGACGCAUGGUGGAUACAAAUUUUUUGCUCGUGACAGGUGGCCGGGACUUGGUCGGGUUUUUUGUAAAAUUAUGAAUGAAAAUGAACCGGAAACGAUCAGGGAAAGGAAGCACCGAAUCAGAAAAUGAAUGGGCUUUCCGAAUCUGUGCAUAUCAAUUGGGGAAAUUGUGUAUUGCGGCCAGGAAAAUUCGGCAAACAUUUUGACGUCUUCGAAAAAUGCCGUUUUUUUGAAAUGUCAGUGUCUUUAUACCGGGGUGAGACGAAAUGAAAUUUGCCCGAUUAUUUUAUUAAAAUUAUUCGAAUAUAUACACGGGUCAGUCGUAAUGAUCUACUUAAUUUAAAAUAAGAAUUUAGAUAUUAGGUGAGUUUUUACUAUUUAGUUUAUUAUUAAUAAAUGUUAACAAUUCUUAAACAUUGCUUUUGGGAUAUAAAUAAAAAUUUUUUGAAAUUAUUGAUUUUUAAGGUUAGUCGAGUAUCAUAACUUUUUUG